GGAAUAUUGGGCAAUGGGGGCAACCCUGACCCAGCGACGCCGCGUGGGUGAUGAAGGCCUUCGGGUCGUAAAGCCUUGUCAAAAGGGAAGAAUGUUUCUGACGUAAAUAGCUUCAGAAAGUGACGGUACCUUUGAAGGAAGCACCGGCCAACUCCGUGCCAGCAGCCUCGGUAAGACGGAGGGUGCAAGCGUUGCUCGGAAUUACUGGGCGUAAAGGGUGCGUAGGCGGCUUUUUAAGGCUGACGUGAAAGCCCAGGGCUCAGCCUUGGAAGUGCGUUAGAAACUGGAAAGCUAGAGUGCCGGAGGGGAGAGUGGAAUUCCUGGUGUAGCGGUGAAAUGCGUAGAUAUCAGGAGGAAUACCGGUGGCGAAAGCGACUCUCUGGACGGUAACUGACGCUGAGGCACGAAAGCGUGGGGAGCAAAC
rnacentral:rRNA from 1 species